rnacentral:rRNA from 1 species
GAUGAACGCUGGCGGCGUGCCUAAUACAUGCAAGUCGAGCGACCAGACGAGGUUCUUGCUCCUCUCACGUUAGCGGCGGACGGGUGAUUCACCCGUGCAUACCCUACCUUUAAGUCUGGGCUAACUUCGGCAUACCUGAUCUCAUACCCGAUAAUAUAUUGAACCCCAUGGUUCAAUAGUCAUCGACGUUUUUGCUGUCACUUUUUCAUUUUUCCUCGCCGCAUUAGCUAGUUGGUAAGGUAACGGCUUACCAAGGCAACGAUGCGUAGCCGACCUGAGAGGAGGAUCAGCCACACUGGAACUGAGACACGGACAAGACGCCUACGGGAGGCAGCAGUAGGGAAUCUUAGGCAAUGGGCGAAAGCCUGACGGAGCAACGCCGCGUGAGGGAAGAAGGUCUUCGGAUCGUAAAACUCUGUUAUUAGGGAAGAAAAAAUGUGUAAGAAAAUAUGGAGGGGAUGACGGUACCGAAAGAAAAAGCAACGGCUAACUACGUG